AUCUUGUUGUUUUGCUACUCUCACUUUGGAGUUCGGAUGGUGUCUAGCAACGUUGGGUACCUCGUUUCUUGUGUGAGCGAGUGGUUGCUGUUUACGACGUGUUCAUAUAUCGAUUUGUAGUGCUGUAAUGUGCAAAUUAGCGGACUUUAUAGCGGCUCUCUAUUUUCCGUCGUUGUCUUUCGAGCAGCGCCUGUUGUUCCGGUAAAAAUCGAGUUGAAUGAAUCGCCACAGCCCCAACGUAUAUCGCGCAGUGUUGACCAAGACCAAGUCCAGCAGGAAUUCUGGCAUGGUAUGUGGCUGCACGGAGGAUUCCGAAAAAGAAAAACAACAACAUGGCUAAUAGGAUGUUGCUGCCCAGGGAGUCCUGGCCGAAGAGGUUUACUCAUUCCAGAAGCAAG